rnacentral:tRNA from 1 species
UGUGGUGUAGCUCAACUGGUAGAGCACCGCUCUGUUAAAGCGGCAGGUGUGGGUUCGAGUCCCACCGCCACAGCCA